UACAGAGGGUGCAAGCGUUAAUCGGAAUUACUGGGCGUAAAGCGUGCGUAGACGGUUAUUUAAGUCAGGUGUGAAAGCCCCGGGCUCAACCUGGGAAUUGCAUUUGAGACUGAAUAGCUAGGGUGCGGAAGAGGGAAGCGGAAUUUCCGGUGUAGCGGUGAAAUGCGUAGAUAUCGGAAGGAACACCAGUGGCGAAAAGCGGCUUCCUGAUCCAGCACCGACGUUCAGGCACGAAAGCGUGGGGAGCAAACAGG
rnacentral:rRNA from 1 species